CUUAUCAUCAUCAGCA
rnacentral:sRNA from 1 species